CCUAUCAGGUAGUAGUGGGUGUAGCGUACCUACUAGCCUACGACGGGUACGGGUUGUGAGAGCAAGAGCCCGGAGAUGGAUUCUGAGACACGAAUCCAGGCCCUACGGGGUGCAGCAGGCGCGAAAACUUUACAAUGCUGGAAACAGCGAUAAGGGGACCUCGAGUGCCAGGUUACAAAUCUGGCUGUCGUGAUGCCUAAAAAGCAUUGCAUAGCAAGGGCCGGGCAAGACCGGUGCCAGCCGCCGCGGUAACACCGGCGGCUCGAGUGGUAACCGUUAUUAUUGGGUCUAAAGGGUCUGUAGCCGGCCGGAUAAGUCUCUUGGGAAAUCUGGCAGCUUAACUGUCAGGCUUUCAGGGGAUACUGUCUGGCUCGAGGCCGGGAGAGGUGAGAGGUACUUCAGGGGUAGGGGUGAAAUCUUGUAAUCCUUGAAGGACCACCAGUGGCGAAGGCGUCUCACCAGAACGGACCUGACGGCAAGGGACGAAAGCUAGGGGCACGAACCGGAUUAGAUACCCGGGUAGUCCUAGCCGUAAACGAUACUCGCUAGGUGUCGGCCACGGUGCGACCGUUGUCGGUGCCGUAGGGAAGCCGUGAAGCGAGCCACCUGGGAAGUACGGCCGCAAGGCUGAAACUUAAAGGAAUUGGCGGGGGAGCACCACAACGGGUGGAGCUUGCGGUUUAAUUGGAUCAACGCCGGAAAUCUUACCGGGACCGACAGCAAUAUGAAGGCCAGGCUGAAGACUUUGCCGGAUUAGCUGAGAGGUGGUGCAUGGCCGUCGUCAGUUCGUACUGUGAAGCAUCCUGUUAAGUCAGGCAACGAGCGAGACCCACGCCCACAGUUGCCAGCGUACUCUCCGGAGUGACGGGUACACUGUGGGGACCGCCGCUGCUAAAGCGGAGGAAGGAAUGGGCAACGGUAGGUCAGUAUGCCCCGAAUAUCCCGGGCUACACGCGAGCUACAAUGGUUGGUACAAUGGGUAUCUACCCCGAAAGGGGAUGGAAAUCUCCUAAAGCCAAUCUUAGUCCGGAUUGAGGGCUGCAACUCGCCCUCAUGAAGCUGGAAUCCGUAGUAAUCGCGUUUCAACAGAACGCGGUGAAUACGUCCCCGCUCCUUGCACACACCGCCCGUCAAACCACCCGAGUAGGGUCUGAAUGAGAGCGCUUCCUUCGGAGGCGUUCGAAUUUGGGCUUUGCAAGGGGGGUUAAGUCG
rnacentral:rRNA from 1 species